GACGAACGCUGGCGGCGUGCUUAACACAUGCAAGUCGAACGGAAAGGCCCUGCUUUCGUGGGGUGCUCGAGUGGCGAACGGGUGAGUAACACGUGAGUAACCUGCUCUUGACUUUGGGAUAACUUCAGGAAACUGGGGCUAAUAUCGGAUAGGAGCCCCUGCUGCAUGGAGGGGGUUGGAAAGUUUCGGCGGUUGGGGAUGGACUCGCGGCUUAUCAGCUAGCUGGUGGGGUAGUGGCUUACCAAGGCUUUGACCGGUAGCCGGCCUGAGAGGGUGACCGGCGACAAUGGGACUGAGAUACGGCCCAGACUCCUACGGGAGGCAGCAGUGGGAAAUAUUGCACAAUGGGCGGAAGCCUGAUGCAGCAGCGCCGCGUGCGUGAUGACGGCCUUCGGGUUGUAAACCGCUUUCGCCUGUGACGAAGCGUGAGUGACGGUAAUGGGUAAAGAAGCACCGGCUAACUACGUG
rnacentral:rRNA from 1 species